AGAGUUUGAUUAUGGCUCAGGAUGAACGCUGGCGGCGUGCUUAAUACAUGCAAGUCGAACGGAGUUAAAUGAAACCUAGUGAUUUAAACUUAGUGGCGGACGGGUGAGUAACGCGUGGGUAACCUGCCCUGUACAGGGGGAUAACGGCUGGAAACGGCCGCUAAAACCGCAUAACAUCGGAAUACCGCAUGAUGUUCCGGUCAAAUAUUUAUAGGUACAGGAUGGGCCCGCGUCUGAUUAGCUAGAUGGUGAGGUAACGGCCCACCAUGGCGACGAUCAGUAGCCGUACUGAGAGGUAGAACGGCCACAUUGGGACUGAGACACGGCCCAAACUCCUACGGGAGGCAGCAGUAGGGAAUAUUGGUCAAUGGGGGAAACCCUGAAACCCAGCGACGCCGCGUGAGUGAAGAAGUAUUUCGGUAUGUAAAGCUCUAUCAGCAGGGACGAUAAUGACGGUACCUGACUAAGAAGCCCCGGCUAACUACGUGCCAGCCGCCGC
rnacentral:rRNA from 1 species